CUCCCGGGAAACGCAGAGAAUCCAGCGCGUUGUGACAGCAUGAGAACAGAUAUGUAGACAUAGGAGCUGGGGUGGAUUAAGAGAGAGUUAACCCCCCCCCCCCUCUCACACACACCCAUUUUCCAAUCAGCAGGGAGAGUAUGUUGUGGACUAACAUUGUAAACUCUCCCUCAGCUCCAGGGCGUAUAUAAAGAUGAAAAGCUAUGUGCUUGCACCACUAUUUCUACCCGGCAACCGCGGGCACGUCUUGAGAACAAUAAGCGGGUUACUCGUAGUGGACAGUGGUCAACAAGUCAGGAAGAUCACACUAGGGACACUUAGUUAGAACUCAUUUACCUCUAAGGAUCCGAAGUAAUUGGAAUAUUUCAAGCUGCCCAAAUGUCUGAACGCAUUAUAACCCGUUUUAAAUAAAGCAAGACAACUACAGGCCAUGCUUGCAGCUUCUUAUGAAUACCACCAUAAUUACUGAAGACAGUGAUUUCUUUUUGUAUUUUUAAGUAUCACAUAUAAACUGACAAUUGUUUCUCAGGAAAACUAGCCAUAUCCAGACAUUUGCUUGGUACUGCGCACCUUCUGUGACAUUCCAUCCCUUGAUAUUACAAUUUGGAUUAAGAAACUUGCAUAAUUAAAGAAUUGGCAUAUCUAUUUUAUUUAAAUGUAAAAAUGCUGAAAUGUAGAAGCAAAAAUAUAAUACUCAGUAAUUGAGCUGUUUUUGGGUAAGUACAUAUACCACUGUUCAUGUAUGUAUCUAUAGUUAAAUGUUUCAAUGUAAAAGAAAUAAAAUAAGAAAUGUGAUUAAACAUUUUGAGAUAAAUUAGCUAGCACUGGGAUCAGGGAGUCAGAAUUUUUUUAAAUAAAGUAAUUGAUGUAGUACUUCAUUUAUUGUGCAUUGGAAUAAAGUAAUUGAUGUAGUGCUUCGUUUAUUGUGCAUUGGAAUAAAGUAAUUGAUGUAGUAUUUUAUUUAUUGUGCAUUGGAAUAAAGUAAUUGAUGUAGUACUUCAUUUAUUGUGCAUUGGAAUAAAGUAAUUGAUGUAGUACUUCAUUUAUUGUAAUUAAAGGUCAGUGGUAAUAAGUACUUAGCAAUGAGGUGAUGACUUUUUCAUUAUUGAUAUGUCUUAAUGUUAUAAUUAUUGUUAUAUCUCACACACUACAUUCAUAAGUAAUGAUCAAUAUAGCUAUCUUGAGCAUAAUCAGGGGAAAAAAAAAAAUAAAAAUAAAAUAAAAUAA